rnacentral:tRNA from 1 species
UCUCUGGUGGUCCAGUGGCUAAGACGCUGAACUCCCAAUGCAGGGGCCCUGGGUUCAAUCCCUGGUCGGGGAA